AACUUUCAACAACGGAUCUCUUGGUUCUGGCAUCGAUGAAGAACGCAGCGAAAUGCGAUAAGUAAUGUGAAUUGCAGAAUUCAGUGAACCAUCGAAUCUUUGAACGCACAUUGCGCCCUUUGGUAUCCCGAAGGGCAUGCCUGUUCGAGCGUCAUU
rnacentral:rRNA from 1 species